rnacentral:tRNA from 1 species
GAUGUGGCUGGCGGGGAUCGCCCUGCUGUUGAUGGUGGCGGUGAUCCCGGUUGGGAUCUUCGCCCGCUACGUCA